rnacentral:rRNA from 1 species
UGGGGAAUUUUGGACAAUGGACGCAAGUCUGAUCCAGCCAUGCCGCGUGCGGGAAGAAGGCCUUCGGGUUGUAAACCGCUUUUGUCAGGGAAGAAACGAGUUUCUCUAAUACAGAGACUUAAUGACGGUACCUGAAGAAUAAGCACCGGCUAACUACGUGCCAGCAGCCGCGGUAAUACGUAGGGUGCAAGCGUUAAUCGGAAUUACUGGGCGUAAAGCGUGCGCAGGCGGUUAUGUAUGACAGAUGUGAAAUCCCCGGGCUCAACCUGGGACCUGCAUUUGUGACUGCAUAGCUAGAGUACGGCAGAGGGGGAUGGAAUUCCGCGUGUGGCAGUGAAAUGCGUAGAUAUGCGGAGGAACACCGAUGGCGAAGGCAAUCCCCUGGGCCUGUACUGACGCUCAUGCACGAAAGCGUGGGGAGCAAACA